rnacentral:rRNA from 2 species
UCGCCGUUUAAAGUGGUACGCGAGCUGGGUUUAGAACGUCGUGAGACAGUUCGGUCCCUAUCUGCCGUGGGCGCUGGAGAAUUGAGGGGGGUUGCUCCUAGUACGAGAGGACCGGAGUGAACGCACCGCUGGUGUUCGGGUUGUCAUGCCAAUGGCACUGCCCGGUAGCUAAGUGCGGAAAAGAUAAGUGCUGAAAGCAUCUAAGCACGAAACUUGCCCCGAGAUGAGUUCUCCCUGACUCCCAGAGGGUCCUGAAGGGACGUUGAAGACGACGACGUUGAUAGGCCGGGUGUGUAAGCGCAGCGAUGCGUUGAGCUAACCGGUACUAAUGACCCGUGAGGCUUAACCUUACAACGCCAGAGGCGUUU